GAUGAACGCUGGCGGCGUGCCUAAUACAUGCAAGUCGAGCGAACGGACGAGAAGCUUGCUUCUCUGAUGUUAGCGGCGGACGGGUGAGUAACACGUGGAUAACCUACCUAUAAGACUGGGAUAACUUCGGGAAACCGGAGCUAAUACCGGAUAAUAUUUUGAACCGCAUGGUUCAAAAGUGAAAGACGGUCUUGCUGUCACUUAUAGAUGGAUCCGCGCUGCAUUAGCUAGUUGGUAAGGUAACGGCUUACCAAGGCAACGAUGCAUAGCCGACCUGAGAGGGUGAUCGGCCACACUGGAGCUGAGACACGGUCCAGACUCCUACGGGAGGCAGCAGUAGGGAAUCUUCCGCAAUGGGCGAAAGCCUGACGGAGCAACGCCGCGUGAGUGAUGAAGGUCCUCGGAUCGUAAAACUCUGUUAUUAGGGAAGAACAUAUGUGUAAGUAACUGUGCACAUCUUGACGGUACCUAAUCAGAAAGCCACGGCUAACUACGUG
rnacentral:rRNA from 1 species